rnacentral:rRNA from 1 species
UACGUAGGGCGCAAGCGUUAUCCGGAAUUAUUGGGCGUAAAGAGCUCGUAGGCGGUUUGUCGCGUCUGCCGUGAAAGUCCGGGGCUCAACUCCGGAUCUGCGGUGGGUACGGGCAGACUAGAGUGAUGUAGGGGAGACUGGAGUUCCUGGUGUAGCGGUGAAAUGCGCAGAUAUCAGGAGGAACACCGAUGGCGAAGGCAGGUCUCUGGGCAUUAGCUGACGCUGAGGAGCGAAAGCAUGGGGAGCGAACAGG